UCUGCCUGGAUGAUGUUACAAAUUUCAAGUCUUUUUGCGACGAGUUACAAAUAGUCCCAAACAUGUGCACCACCAUUUGAGUACGCGAUCUAUUAAAAACAUAUAUAAUGCUGCCGGGAGGUUACAAGAUAGUCUUCACAUAUUUGGACAGUUCAGCAUUUGAUUUCUUCAAUAAAACUACGUGAAGGAGCAGCGGGCAGAUGCUGAGUCAAACGGGUCAC